GACGAACGCUGGCGGCGUGCUUAACACAUGCAAGUCGAACGGAAAGGCCCCUUUGGUGGUACUCGAGUGGCGAACGGGUGAGUAACACGUGAGUAACCUGCCCUUGACUUCGGGAUAACUUCAGGAAACUGGGGCUAAUACCGGAUAGGAAUCCUUGCUGCAUGGUGGUGGUUGGAAAGUGUCGGCGGUUUUGGAUGGACUCGCGGCUUAACAGCUUGUUGGUGGGGUAGUGGGUUACCGAAGCGUUGGCGGGUAGCGGGCCUGAGGGGGCGACCGGCGACACUGGGACUGAGGGACGGCAGCGGCACCUACGGGAGGCAGAAGUGGGGAAUAUUGCACGAUCGGCGGCGGCCUGAUGCAGAAGCGCCGCGUGCGGGAUGACGGCCUUCGGGUUGUAAACCGCUUUCAGAAGGAACGAAGCUUGUGGUGACGGUACCUGCAGAAGAAGCACCGGCUAACUACGUG
rnacentral:rRNA from 1 species